AACGAACGCUGGCGGCGCGCCUAAUACAUGCAAGUCGAGCGGGAAGACGUAGCAAUACGUUUGUAAAGCGGCGAACGGGUGAGGAAUACAUGGGUAACCUACCCUCGAGUGGGGAAUAACUAGCCGAAAGGUUAGCUAAUACCGCGUACGCUCCUUGGACUUCGGUUCAGGGAGGAAAGCGAUACCGUGGGUAUCGCGCUCUUGGAUGGGCUCAUGUCCUAUCAGCUUGUUGGUGAGGAACGGCUCACCAAGGCUUCGACGGGUAGCUGGUCUGAGAGGACGAUCAGCCACACUGGCACUGCGACACGGGCCAGACUCCUACGGGAGGCAGCAGUAAGGAAUAUUGCGCAAUGGGCGAAAGCCUGACGCAGCGACGCCGCGUGGGGGAUGAAGGUCUUCGGAUUGUAAACCCCUUUCGGGAGGGAAGAUGGAACGAGCAAUCGUUCGGACGGUACCUCCAGAAGCAGCCACGGCUAACUUCGUGCCAGCAGCCGCGGUAAC
rnacentral:rRNA from 1 species